rnacentral:rRNA from 1 species
CGGGACGGGGUGAGUAAUGUCUGGGAAACUGCCUGAUGGAGGGGGAUAACUGCUGGAAACGGUAGCUAAUACCGCAUAACGUCGCAAGACCAAAGAGGGGGACCUUCGGGCCUCUUGCCGUCGGAUGUGCCCAGAUGGGAUUAGCUAGUAGGUGGGGUAACGGCUCACCUAGGCGACGAUCCCUAGCUGGUCUGAGAGGAUGGCCAGCCACACUGGAACUGAGACACGGUCCAG